UGCGGAGGGGGCUAGCGUUGUUCGGAAUUACUGGGCGUAAAGCGCGCGUAGGCGGACCUGCAAGUCGGGGGUGAAAGCCCGAGGCUCAACCUCGGAACUGCCUUCGAUACUGCGGGUCUCGAGUCCGGGAGAGGUGAGUGGAAUUCCUAGUGUAGAGGUGAAAUUCGUAGAUAUUAGGAAGAACACCAGUGGCGAAGGCGGCUCACUGGCCCGGUACUGACGCUGAGGCGCGAAAGCGUGGGGAGCAAACAGG
rnacentral:rRNA from 1 species